rnacentral:rRNA from 1 species
AGAGUUUGAUCAUGGCUCAGAAUCAACGCUGGCGGCGCGCUUAACACAUGCAAGUCGCACGAGAAAGUGGAGCAAUCCAUGAGUACAGUGGCGUACGGGUGAGUAACACGUGGAUCAUCUACCUUUUAGUGGGGAAUACCCCCGGGAAACUGGGGAUAAUACCGCAUAAGCUCGUAAGAGGAAAGCAGCAAUGCGCUGAAAGAGGAGUCCGCGGCUGAUUAGCUAGUUGGUGAGGUAAUGGCUCACCAAGGCGAAGAUCGGUAGCCGGCCUGAGAGGGCACACGGCCACACUGGCACUGAAACACGGGCCAGACUCCUACGGGAGGCAGCAGUGGGGAAUCUUGCACAAUGGAGGAAACUCUGAUGCAGCGACGCCGCGUGAGCGAUGAAGCCCUUCGGGGUGUAAAGCUCUUUCGACGGGAACGAUAAUGACGGUACCCGAAGAAGAAGCUGCGGCUAACUACGUGCCAGCAGCCGCGGUAAUACGUAGGCAGCAAGCGUUGUUCGGAAUUACUGGGCGUAAAGAGUGUGUAGGCGGUGCUCUAAGUCUGUUGUGAAAUCUCCCGGCUUAACCGGGAGGGUGCGGCGGAAACUGGAGUGCUUGAGGGUGGGAGAGGUAAGCGGAAUUCCUGGUGUAGCGGUGAAAUGCGUAGAUAUCAGGAGGAACACCUGUGGUGUAGACAGCUUACUGGACCACUUCUGACGCUGAGACACGAAAGCGUGGGUAGCAAACAGGAUUAGAUACCCCAGUAGUCC